AUGAGCUCGUCGAACUCGUUGAUGCCGGCGAUCGAAUAGCCCUGGCCGCCGAGGAUCGAGCGGCCGGACCGGC
rnacentral:sRNA from 1 species